UACGGAGGGUGCGAGCGUUGUUCGGAAUUACUGGGCGUAAAGCGCACGUAGGCGGAUAUUUAAGUCAGGGGUGAAAUCCCAGAGCUCAACUCUGGAACUGCCUUUGAUACUGGGUAUCUCGAGUAUGGAAGAGGUGAGUGGAAUUCCGAGUGUAGAGGUGAAAUUCGUAGAUAUUCGCAAGAACACCAGUGGCGAAGGCGGCUCACUGGACCAGUUCUGACACUGAUGAGCGAAAGCCAGGGGAGCAAACAGG
rnacentral:rRNA from 1 species